rnacentral:rRNA from 1 species
UACGGAGGGUGCAAGCGUUAUCCGGAUUUACUGGGUUUAAAGGGUGCGUAGGUGGGUCUGUAAGUCAGUGGUGAAAUCUCCGGGCUUAACUCGGAAAUUGCCAUUGAUACUAUAGGUCUUGAAUCAUCUGGAGGUAAGCGGAAUAUGUCAUGUAGCGGUGAAAUGCUUAGAUAUGACAUAGAACACCAAUUGCGAAGGCAGCUUACUACGGAUGUAUUGACACUGAGGCACGAAAGCGUGGGGAGCAAACAGG